rnacentral:rRNA from 1 species
UACGUAGGGGGGCUAGCGUUGUCCGGAUUUAUUGGGCGUAAAGGGUGCGUAGGCGGCGCGGUAAGUCGGGUGUGAAAUCUUGGAGCUUAACUCCGAAACUGCAUUCGAUACUGCCGUGCUUGAGGACUGGAGAGGAGACUGGAAUUUACGGUGUAGCGGUGAAAUGCGUAGAUAUCGUAAGGAAGACCAGUGGCGAAGGCGGGUCUCUGGACAGUUCCUGACACUGAGGCACGAAGGCCAGGGGAGCAAACAGG